rnacentral:lncRNA from 1 species
AUUUCCACUCAAGAGCAAUCUUUUUUGCACGCUCCUUGAUACUUGCAGUAAGCACUUGACCUUCCGAUAUGAAACCAGUAGUAGCAUCAGUUUGCAGCUGAGCAAGUGAUUCCAUCAACAUGAGGCACGUCCUCCGUACACCCAGAAGGUUUCCAUCCUUUUUGCCAUCCAAUAUAAGAUUGUCUCCAAAAUAGAAGUCUUCUAGAGAAGCUAACACCAAGCCAUAUGGAUCAGUUGCUCCCCUAAGUGCAACGGGGAUUUCCUCACGGAUGGAUGUUAAGUCUUUGCGAUUGUCUGAUAUGAACUUAUGAAGCCCGUUAACAUUCAUCUCUUCACAGAGGACAACAAGUUGAGAACGAGGCUUCACAGCAGUGUUUUCAUCUUGCAGGUAUGCACCAUGCGCAGUUGCAGGUUUGGGCCACUUAACAGAAAGACUACCACCGAUGUUUCCAUUAAACACAGCAUUGUUAUUCACGGAUUUGCUGAUUGGGUUGAUAAGAGGCGUAGACAAGUUCAGCUUGGACUUGCCAAAGAUCACAGCCAACGCGGCAUCCCUUUUCUGCUGCAGUUUUUCAAGAGAAGUCAGUUCCUUUGCCACGACAACAGCCUCUUGUUGCUCCAGCAUCUGCUCUGACUUUGCAACCGUCUCCUCGAACUCCUCUUCCUGCCUUUUCAGAUCAUCAAACUUUUUCUUGAGCGACUGCUCAAGCCCAUGGAAAUGGUCCUCCAGUUGCUUCCACUUUAAGUUCAAGGAAACAGCGCUCUGGCUCUCGAGCUCUGCAAAUGCACGCUGAAGCUGCUGCAGCUUGGAGCCUGUGGACUCCAUAAGUGUAGCCAUGGACUCCAUGUCGGACAUGGUGGCAGAUUUCUGCAAAAGGUGAAAACAACGAAAGCUGUUGGUACCCAUACCACAAACAACAAUACCGCACAUAAAACCAGGGGCGGAUCUAACGUGGGACAUGGGGAUUCAUCCCAAACUUUUUUUGGGGAACAAACGAAACUGUUAUUCGUAUUAAGAAUAGCAAAUUGAAAGAAAAGCAGCAGCUUUCAGAUCUAGAAGAGAAGCUAGGGUUGACGCGAAUUCGAGGGGAAAAAGUGGGUGGGUAGAGAGGGAUGAGAAAGAGGAUAUGCGAAACGGAUGGAUGCUCACCAGGAAGCAGCAGUGACGAUGUGCGUUGACGGACGGAUGCUAGCUCCCCCGCCCCCGCCACCACCUAUGGCGGCUCGGGGAGGAGAUCGAGGGGGGUCGGCGGCGGCGGCGGCGGCGGCCGGAGGAGCGGCGGAACCCUAGACGUGGUGGUGGGUUGUGGGCGUCUGUCUGCUUUUCGCGGGAGGGAUGGGGAAAGUGACGGAUUGGAGAAGCUGCGGUGCGAGGGGAGAGAGUGAGAGACAAUGGUUGGUGGGUCCCAUCUGUCAGUGAUAGUCUUUUUACUCCUCGGUCUGCAGAAAAGCGGUUUGCCAUGUGCUCUAAAAACAGUGUUUUUACAACUUAGUAAUUUUUUAUUUAAACAUUAGAAGGAAAAUGUGCACAAGAGAUACACAAUUGUCUUUCCAAGGAGUAGCUUGCAUAAGUUGCUUUGUAGGACAAGUAUUAUUAUUACAAGCAUGACUAAUAUUUUGGUAAUUUAGAGCUGCUAACUCAUAUUUAGAUUCUCUGGCUUUUUUAGACUAGUAGUCAGCUAUUUGAUACCCUUUUAUUUAUAUCUCUGGGGAUCCAUUUGACGUUGAAAGAAGCUCCACCUGAAAAGUUAUGUAAUUGUGCAAGCAAAGGCAAAAGGCUCUAGUGAUGGUUAUGAUUGAUAUUAUUAGAGUUUUGAAGUAAGAGCACCAGUUCUUGAUUGUCUUGAAAAAAUAGGGAGGAUUUGUAAUUUGAAGGAAAUCACAGAUGAAGGUAUCAAGCUUAAAAGUUGCAAGUUCCGCCUGAAUUGGCGACACAUAAAGAGUUGAUUUGGCCUACACAAAGAUGAUAUGAUGAUUUAUAGAGUCAUGUAGAAAAAAGACCAAACCUUGUUAUAUUAUCCUUCCCAGAAGCGUCAAGGAAACAUCCAGUUACUGGCAACAAAUUAACAGAAGCAACAGAAUUCAUCUAUGAUUGGAAUAGUUUCAUUAUCAUUCUCAUUAGACAAGGCUGAAAUAUAAUUCUUUGACAUAGCGCUUGCUACAUUACAAACUUGCAAAGGCUCCCAUUCUUUUUUCUUGAAAUAAUGAUCAUUUCUAGCUUUCCAAAUAAACCAAAGAAGGAUUGGAACUUUUUGAAGGCUGUUUUCAGAAUUAUUAGUUGCAAGCAAAUAUGCUAUAAUAUUAGAAACAUUUUGCAUUGAGUCAAUAAUGAGAUUGUGAAAAGAGAGUUCUUAAAGUUUCCAGGUAAGUCUUGCAAAAGCACAGCGGAAGAAAAGAUGAACAUUUUCAGCAUCAUUGCAACGGGAGCAAAAAUCAGGAAUAUCCAAAAUUUUUGAGUGAAGAUUUGCAGCCGUUGGAAGAGCUUGUCUAAUUAGUCUCCAAAUAAAAGUUUUAACUUUAGAAGGAAUGUAUUUAGUGGACCAAGUUUUCAAAAGGAGAUUACUCUGUAAAGAGGUGAUGUUAGAGGAGACAAGAUAAAGAUAAAGAUUAAGUGCUUCACACAAAACAAGGUGGUAAUAACGUGUGAUUAAUUGAGUUUUAAUUAUUACAAACUUGAAAAUAGAUUAAUCUGAUAUUUUAGAACAACUUUCAUACAGAAAGUUUUUGCACGAAACACACUGUUUAGUAGUUUGAAAAGCGUGCCGAGAAUAUCCAAAAUUUUAUCCGCUCCUUGCAGUGGAAACGAACUGGAAGUGAGAAAUAUUAGAAACCUGCUUAUAAUUGCUUUUUGAAGUAAUGCUCUUGAAGAAGUAGGAAUCCAAUAGAGUUUGUCCUCAUUAUCCUGAGGAACAAUCUGAACCUUUGAUAUGAUUUGCACCAUUUCCUAGUCAAAAAUUUGAUUGAGCUUGUUUUUAGACCAAGAUCUAAAACAGUUUGUAACGUAUGAUUUCCGGACAAAAAACCCAUCAUUCUACUCACGGAUAACACAUCAGCUUCUUUACCAGCUAAUCAUGACACUUACGGGCUUAGAGCAUUCCUAGCUGCUUGCUUAUCUAUUUCGUCCCUCAUCAACAGCAAUAACAUCAGCAGCUAAUCUAGUAGAUGCACCAACCCUAUCUUUAAAUUUAGCAUGUGUGCUAUCUUGGAAAGAGAAACAACAACUUUGGUGUUGCUCUCUUCUUACCGAGCUCCCGCCCCAUCCGGAUCGACCGAGCAACGCCUCGUCCAUCAUUGUCAUCAUUACUAGCCAGCGUAGGUGAGUCCCUAUAUUCCCUUUACUUUUUUUUCAGCGAUGGUGGUAGUGGCAGGGCUUCAAAGGGUAGAGCCAUGGCGGAAUGAGGGUGGAGCCAUGGCGGAAUGGUGGUAGUGGAGAGGAAGGGUGCACCAAUCUAGAGGUGGCAAUGGAUUCUAGGGUGGUGGAUGUGGUCAUCGACCUGCUACGUAUGCAAAAGCACUGCUCGCAUUGAUGGCUCUCUUAAUUAAUAUUUGAUAGAUUCACAAUGUAAUAUAUUUGUAUCCUUCAACAUGUUUUACCACUUGUAUGCUGCUAUGAUUUUUCUUGCUAGAUGAAUUGAUGGACACCUACGUUGGUUUGUUGGGUUCAGACAUUGAUGUAGCAAAUUAGAAUCUAAGUCAAAAAAAAUUCCCCAAAAUGGAGCCGCCACAACCACCGUUUUUUUAACAAAUUAGUCUUUUUUAAAAACUUAUUUCGAAACUAGUCCCUGCAAAAAACUUCAACCAAAAAUAGGCCGUGAACUCAGCGCCAUGGACCUUGGCGCUGAGCUAUAACGUCUCAGCGCCAACUUUUGUUGGCGCUAAGCUCAAAUCCGAGGUGGCAUGAAUUUGUUGAGUCAUCAUAUUUGGCGCUGAGGUCUUGAUGAUUUAAAUUUCUACGGAGGCAUUCAUCUUCAUCAACUCAACGAUAGCAUAGUGGUAGUAGGAUUCUACUCUAACCCUAUGGAGCAGGGUUCGAUCCCCCAUUUCAUCCAUUUUUCUUCUUUUCUCCGUUUUUUCUUCUUUCGACCCCCCAUCUCUCCCUUUUUUUUUUCUGUUUCUUCUUCUUUUUUUCUUCUUUUUCUUCUCUCUCACACUCUUUAAAUUUACAAACGAAACUGUCAUUUUGUAAAGAAUAAGAGUGAAUAGUCGAGAGAAAAAAAAAACCAUUUUUUUCUUUUUCUUCUUCUUUUUCUUCUCUCUCUCACUCUUUAUUUUUUUUCUUUUCUGUUUGUCUCUGAUACUAUCUUCAAAAGAUAUGUUUAAAUUGCAAUUUUUUUGAAUUUGGAAAAAAAUAUUAAAGUGGUAUAUUAUAUGGCAAUUGAGAACUUAAACUGAAAUUUCAAAUCAAAUUCAAAAUAAAACAAAUUUACAAACGAAACUGUCAUUUUGUAAAGAAUAAGAGUGAGUAGUUGAGAGAACAAAAAAGAGAAAAGGAAAAAACCCAAAAUACAAAAAAAAAUGUUGAGGUGGGAUACCAGGAUUCGGACCUAGAACCCUAUGCCCUCACAGCUUGAGACAUCAACCACUAGGCUAUAACUGUUUUGCUACACUAAGAUGCUUGCGCUUCUAUUUGAAUCGUCAGGACCUCUGACUCAGCAACACCUCGGAUUAGAUGUUAGCGCAAUAACGUUGGCGCUGAGAUGUUAUAGGUCAGCGCCAAGGUCUAUGGCGCUGAGACCACGGUCUAUUUUUUGUUGAAGUUUUUUAUAGGACUAGUUUCGAAAUAAGUUUUUGAAAACGACCAAUUUGUUAAAAAAAACGGCCACAACCAAGUCCUCAAGCUAGAGAGCAGCAAAACACAACAGAAAUUGGGGUGUCCUCUAGACCAAACAACAAGAGAUCAAAGAAUUUCACCAUUACAGAAGACAUAAUGUUGGUGUCGGCAUGGCUCAAUACCACUCUGAAUGCUGCGAUCGCAGGUGCUAAGCAACAUUGUGACUCAUAUUAAGCAACGAUUCACCAAUACUUGCAUAAAAACAAGAAAUCCCCCACAAAUCGUAACCAAAAUUCUUUUAACAAACAUUGUGGGUGCCACUCAAUACUAAGUUAACAAUACAAUUUGAAAUGUUGCUAUAUUUUCUAAAAAGUUUGACUAGAAAAAGUUAAAACUACUUAUUAUAAUAUGAAAUAGAGAGCAUAGGUGAUAUGGUGUAGUUCGGACAUAGUCGCUAAUAGCAAGCUCGUAUCCAUGUCAACUAGGCAAAAUAUUAAUAUACAAAAAUAUUUAGUUGAUGGUGAUUUUUAUCCAAUUAAGAGUGAAACACAAACUUCGGUGAUAGUUCAAGGCCAUGUUGAUCUGGACUGUAUUCUUUGGGACACUUUCCUAGCUUCUACUCUCUCGCUUUCCUUUCCAAACUAAUAAAUAAUAUAUUUUUUUAAAUAGAGAAAAUUUAUUUUAAAAAAAUCAUAUUAAUCUAUUUCAAUUUUUUUAAGCUAAUAUUUAAUUAAUUAUGUGUUAAUCCGCCGCUUCAUUUUGUGUGCUAGGAGAGAAGGGUUCCCAACACCCUCGAAAGAACACAGCCAUCUACUAGUCACAACUCACAAUCUAACAUCAAAGUGAAUCUUACGACUACAAAGUACAACGUUUAUGCUAUGGGAAAUUUGGAACCAAACAUUAGUUGCAUCACCAUAGGGUCUGGAUGUCAAAAUAAUGUCGACAAAUUUAAACAUAUAUAAACUUUUUGUAUUUGUAAUUUUUAAAAUGGAUGAGGGUAAAGACGGGGAAACCAACUGGAAAGCAGAAAACAAAUACAAAAUAGUUUAGACCAAUUUUACUGAAAACAAAUCACAUGUUAGAAAACCACAGGAUACAUGUUCCCAUCCAAAGCUUUGCAGUGGAAUUUGUAAACCUUGCAUCUGAGAAAAAAGGGUAACUCCAUUUUGCUUCCAAUGCAACAGAAAGCAUUGUAAUGGACAUUUCCACCAUGCAACACACAAAAUCUUCGGUACUGGGACUAUCUCAACUCCUUAUAUUAAACAAAAGCAAAUUAUUUAACUAAACAUUAGGAGUAAAUUAUGUCAUAAGUCGUCAGGGAAAUUAACAGAUUUUCACACUGGCCACUCAGCACACACAGGAGUGGUCGAACUAAUUUCAGCUAGGCAGUCUAGCUAGUGGAUUGAUACAACUACAACACAUAGUAGCAGGUUAAAAGCUACAUAGUUAAGAAAGAGGACACGGCGCUCUCUCCAUCAGUGGAUAUAUGGUACCUGGUACUGAACCUGAUAGCCAUUACCAUAGUAUGUUGUGUGGGCAGGUGACAUGCCAUAGGGAGCUGAGCUUAUCAUUGUUGGGUGAUGAUGGGCCUCAGCACCAUAUACAUACUGCCUCUCGUAAGGGUAGGAAUGCCUCUGUGGCGCAGCGGCCUGGUAGAAGCUUUUGUCAGAAAAGCUAGUAAUAUGUGGCGCAUAUACUGAUCCGUUGGCACGAGGCCUCUUAGACUGUGGCUUUCCAGCUUCAACAGCCCUCCUCUUGUCUGCCUUGGCUUUCUCUAGCUGGAUGACUCUUCUCUGAAGUGGGUCGAUAGGAUAUUUCUCAUCAAGUUUGUGCUCCUCAAUACAUUUGAUAACAGCUUUCAAGGCAGACAACUCGCGUUCAUUAAUUUCAUUCUGCAUUAUAUGAUAAUUCAUCAGAUGUAAUACAAAACAUAACAAUUAGGAAUGCAUGCAGAUAUGCUCAAGAAUGCACAUACCAGCAAGAAGAGAGAAUAUUAAUUACGCCACUCGAGAAAGUAAAAUUAGCAGGCAACUAGCUUAAUAUCUUGCAAGAUAAGAUAGCUCUUUAUUGUUCAAGUUCUUGAAAACAUGGUAAGUCCUCCAGUUGUGAGGCUACCAACCAGGGCUCCAAAAAAAGGCCCUCUGCAUGUUCCCCUAAAGCACGGGUCAAGACAACAAAAAGUCCCCAUAUGGGUUAGCCAGCUUUCAGGGCCUUUUCUCGACCUCAAAUGAGAUGCCUUCAGGAUGUCUCUCCCCUAAGGGUCGAGAUAUUAUUAUUAUUCAAGUUCUUCAGAAUGACAUUCAAGCUUCUAUACUGAAGCUGAUUGGCGUCUAAAUAAUUUGCUAACUUUACUCCCUCCGUCCCAAAAAAUAACAACUUAUCUACCAAUAUUUUUUUCCCAACAAAUCACAACCAUCCACCAUUCAACUUCCUCACCAACCUCCACUUCUCAUCCAAUCACAACUUUCUCCCAUUUAAUUCUACCUACUUUCUUAAUAACCGUGUUCAACCCUAAAAAUUCUUAUAUUCUGGGACGGAGGUAGUAUUCCAGAAUAAGGAAAUUAAGAAGUACACUGAGCAAACUAUUAAAACAUAAUCUAACGAUUAGCUUCCCUGUUAAAAAAAAUCUGGAUAAACCUUGGUUAUGGUGGGAAAGGAAUGCAGAGCUGAAGAAAAUGAACUUUCAUGUAGUUCAGAUCUCCUUAAGAGAAUUGGUACAAAUUUAAUUAGUAAUACGCAAGAUUCCUUUCCCUGGAUCUAGGCAAAAUCCCAUCCAAACUAGUCAAUCCCAGGAACAGGAAGUUAUGGCACAAUCUCCUUAUCCUAAUUUUGGCUGCCAUUUUGAGGUAUGCAGCAUAAGGAGCAUUUCAUGGAUCAUCAUGGCAGGAUGUCAUGGUGCUACAGGAAAAAUGAGCAUGAAAACACUAGAAUAUAGUGAACGAAUUUAUUGCUCCAGUGCAAUAUUAUAAUGAUUUGCACAAAAAUCUUCUUUUAUUGUAUUAAUGGAUAUUAUAUGCUUGGCAACGAAUACUAAAUAAGUGGCAUGCCAACUGAUCUAUCGAACAGAAUUGCUACAAGCUACAAGUAAUCUUGUCUUUAAGACGCUUCAACUUCAAUUUUCAAGGAGAGACUUACAAUGAUUUAAUACUAAGUUUUUACAGAAUUUCAAGUUUCGAAAUUCUGAAUGAUAAUUUUUGGAUCCAAAUUAAAUAAUGCACUUUUUGUUAAACCAAAGUAGACCAGGGUUACUCAGCUCCCGACUUGGAUCUUGAACUCUGAAAAUUGAAAUGAAAAAAGUGUACCUGUACUCCCGGAGACAUCUUUCCGGUCUUGACAUGUGACAUACUCUUGACCUCCUUCAGAUAAGCUUUCAGUAAUUCGACUGGUUCAAACUGAUCAGUCAGCUCAAAUGCAUAAGCCAAAUUAAUUGCAUCAAUAGUUCUCCCAUUUUCAAUCAAAACUCCAAUGACACCUGAUGUCCAGAAACAUGAACAUGAGGACUUAAUUGUCAUGAACAAAUGUUGCUGACUUGUAAAAACGAAAAGAGCAUGCAAGAGGGGAAAAGGCACAAAAGACGAAAGACAAAAUUAAAAGAAUGGAGCAAAGGGUGAGGCAAACAAAUAUUGCACAAAAAAUAAUGUUCAGUUGCAAUGACUGUUGAAACUGUCAAAACAAAAGCAGAUACAGCAGCAGCUAAACAAUAAGCAAUAUGCUUGUUCAAACCAUACAAAAAUCAUCAUUCAUGUAUGUGAUUAUAAUAAUUUUAGAUUGCUUAAUUGCUGGAGCUAUACAAGCUGUAACAACAUAUCACGAACUAGGGCCUUGCUUCUGUACAACUCUUUGAGAAAGUUUAAAAUCUUAGGCAAAUUGAUAGAUGUGUAAAUCAGCGCCAGCAUAAAAGUUGAAUCGUUCAAUUCCACGGUUAUAUAUUUCAAAACCAUGUCGGUGCCAACUCUUGAUUGAUUCAUCUUUUAAGGUCUAAUGCAUUUUGCCACUACAUAACAUUAACCAUAAUACUCAUAUAUGUGUAUUUUUUUUUCUAAAAGAGAUGCACAACAGCACAUCCCAGUAAAUAAUCAAACGGGAGGACAAAUUCAACCAAAAAGGGAUUGAAUAAAGUCGUAUUAGCUUGCUAUAAUCCAAUAUAUACUAUAUGCAAUUACAUAUAUUAUUCGGAAGUUAGUAACUAACAUCCUGUGACAUUAAGAUCUCCUGAGUCCUGAAUUGAGCUGGUUAGACCAUGCACUAGCAUGCUUAGGCUGCGUUCUUUCCACAAGUUUCCCAACCCCUUUCCCUCGUUUUCCGCGUGCACGCUUUUCAAACUGCUAAAUGGUGUGUUUUUUUGCAAAAAGUUUCUAUACGAAAGUUGCUUUAAAAAAACAAAUUAAUCCAUUUUUGAAAAAAAAAUUAACUAAUACUUAAUUAAUCACACGCUAAUGGACCGCUCCGUUUUCCGUGCGGUGGAGUUGGGUUCCCAACCCCAAGUAUCAAACACAGCCUUAGGGUGUUCUUUCUUCCCCCUUCCCAACUUAUACUACCUCGUUUCCGCACGCAUGCUUUUCAAACUGCUAAACUUUAUGUUUUUUUUUUCAAAAAAAAUAUAUAGGAAGAUUGCUUUAAAAAUCAUAUUAAUCUAAUUUUCAUUUUUAGCUAAUACUUAAUUAAUUAUGCGCUAAUAAACCACCCUCGUUUUUCGUGCGUGAGAGGAAAGUCCAUAAUUCGAACGCAGCGUUAGAAGCUGCUCGAAUUUUGUUGCCAGUAAGAACAAUACAGAUACUAGAUAGUGGGUUUAAGAUGUGCAGCCACUAAAACAUAAGUAGCAGCCUUCAGAUUUUCCAUAUAAAUCAUCUAAACAGCAAUGUCGCAAUAUUGAUUACUUCUAGGUAUAUUCUCGCUGCAGCCACUAACUAGAAAAUAAAUCCAAUGAUAUAGUCUAUUCAUAUAUGAACAAAUGUUGAAGUGGUAAGAAUAAGCUCUCUAGCAAUCUGAGUGACAAUGACAAAUAGAAAACCCCUAUGGUCAAUACAUAACGGAACUAGGUGCAUGAUUAAUCCAUGAUAGCACUGACCUGGCAUGUUCUGUGACAACCCAAGUAUUCUACAAAGCUCAGGUGUCUGGCGACGACGACUGACUGAUGGGAGAAGCUUACACAGCUCGUCUUCCGCAAAUUCAGAAAAUAUAGCAAAGGUAGCCAGGAGUUGAAGAAACGCAUGUGCUUCCAGGCAGUUCCCAUUGCUAGCAUCAAAGUCAAGGCUAUCCAACUUGGAUUUCCACUCAAGCGCUAUCUUUUUCGCUCUCUCCUUAAUACUAGCAGUAAGCAUUUGGCCUUUUGAUAUGAAACCAGUAGUAGCAUCAGUUUGCAGCUGAGCAAGUGAUUCCAUCAACAUGAGGCACGUCCUCCGUACACCCAGAAGGUUUCCAUCCUUUUUACCAUCCAAUAUAAGAUUGUCUCCAAAAUAGAAGUCUUCUAGAGAAGCUAACACCAAGCCAUAUGGAUCAGUUGCUCCCCUAAGUGCAACGGGAAUUUCCUCACGGAUGGAUGUUAAGUCUUUGCGAUUGUCUG